AGGUCAAAGCGGCCUCGGCCGCUCCUCUACCAAGUGCCUUCUAAGCACUUGGCCGCAGGUUCGAGUCCUGCCGGGG
rnacentral:tRNA from 1 species